GGCUCGUUGGUCUAGGGGUAUGAUUCGCGCUUUGUGUGUGAAAGGUCCUGGGUUCAAAUCCCGGAUGAGCCC
rnacentral:tRNA from 1 species